rnacentral:rRNA from 1 species
UACGGGGGGUGCGAGCGUUGUCCGGAAUCACUGGGCGUAAAGGGCGCGUAGGUGGUCUGAUAAGGGUGUGGUGAAAGCCCGGGGCUCAACCCCGGGUCGGCCGUGCCGACUGUUAGACUAGAGUGCUGUAGGGGCAGGCGGAAUUCCGGGUGUAGCGGUGGAAUGCGUAGAGAUCGGGAGGAACAUCAGUGGCGAAGGCGGCCAUCUGGGACAACACUGACGCUGAAGCACGAAAGCGUGGGGAGCAAACAGG